UAUCAUGCCUUGUUCUACAUUGUCAAGUGCAAAAGCAGUAAUAUGUCAACCAAAUGGAAAGUUAAGAUAAAUGAUUGGACAAAAAAUGAUGAGGAUCAUCCAGUGAAUGCAUGUUGUGGAUCUAAAAGUUCAGAGGACAGGCCUAUUCGGCAGCUGACUACUUGGCCAAAAAUGCAGGCUCUAUACCUCUCGGAUUUCAUGUUUAUCAUGAACCUCCUGUAGGUCAUGAUCCUUGGCUUUGUUAUGAUAUGUAUGGGACAAUGAUUCCCCAUUCGGUUGUGUCUUAGCUUGGCUAAGCCUUUUUUUGGUAAAAAAAAAAAAAGAAUGUAGACUAAUGUUCAUAUAGAAAUUGUAAAUUAGAGGUACUGUGAGCAGUGUUGGGUCCAAAAAAAUGAUUAACCGAGAAUUAAAUUAAGUAAAAGCAAGACAUUAUUGAUUCCCUUCAUUCCUGUAAACCCGCCGAAUUGUUCUUUCCUAAAUUAACUCAAGCAUUAAUUUUCUUUUUAGAACAAGAAAGAUAAAAUUUGUGAUUGGUGGAGUGGUUAAUUAUUAUUUUUGAUAAAUUUGAAUCUAUUUUUGAAAUAGAAAAAUGUUUUGGGUUGUGGGUCAUUAUUAUUUUUAAAUAAAGCGUGAGUUUCAAAGUUCAAGUUAAAAUUUAAAUUUUGUAGAUUUAUGAAUGUAUAGAGGCUAUUUUAAUAGAUUGAUGAAGGUUAAUUAGAAGGAAAAAGCUAUUUCCCCUGAAUUUAAUCCGGAAUUGCGCCCCGAAUUAGAAAAACGACGUCGUUUUGAUUCAAUUGAAAACGCUGCAUCAGAAACCACACUCACGCAGUCUCUUAGGGUCCGUUUGGUAUUGUUUCUGAAUUUGAAUUUUCUAAGAAUAAAAAUGAAAAUGAAAAUAGUGUUUUGCAGUUGUUGUAUUUUGAAUUUAAAUAUGCGUUUGGUAUCAUUUUCUGUAUCCUAUAUUUCUAAACUGAAAACAGUAAUAUGCGUGUGGUAGAUAUAGUUGAAAAUGAUAAAACCAAAUAAUAUGCGUUCGGUAAUACCUUUUUCAAAAACAGUUUUUACUAAGCAUUUUAAGUUAUAAUUAUAGUUAGAAAAUAAUUGUGACAAUAUUACAUACACGAAUAUACCAUAAUAAUUUAAGCAAAAUUAUUAUAAAAAAUUAAAUAAUGAUAAAGUUUUAUAAUUACCAUUAAUUAAAAAAAAAGUUUUACAUUGUCAUUGUUUUUAUACUAUAAUUAAGAUGUAUAUUGCAACACAUGAUUUAAACAAAAUAAUUAUAAAAAAUUAUAUAGUACACAUUAUGCAUUAUGUGUAAUCGUGCCUCAUAGAAGCUGCAAUCUCAUCUCUUAUAGCAUUCAUCUCUGCGACAUUAGCUGGUAACCAAAUCUUGCUAUCCUCACCACCAACAUCAUGUGGAUCCAUAUCUUGUUACUAUAAAAUUAGAAAAAAUAACAUAUAUCAAAUAUUAAUGAAAUUAAAGAAACUACUUCUAAACAUACAUAGCUCAAACUUUUGAAAUUAAUCAAAUUCAACAUAGCAUGAAAGCCAUUUUACCAAUAUGUCAUAGAUUAAAAAUUCAACAGUCCAAAAUAAAAAAUAUUCCAAUACAACUUCACCAAUUCAAAUUAAUGGCAUAAACAAAAACAGAUAUAUGUAUUCUGCAUCCUUAACACAAAUACAAUGCUAUUCGGCAAUCAUCAUUUUCCCCAAAUAUAUUUAUCUGAAAUUACAAUUUCCAGCUUGCAUUUCGAUUCAAUGACAGAGAGAAAAUAUUAAAACUCAUAAUGACCAAGCACACAAAGCAACAACAUAGCAACAAUUAAAGCAGCAAGACAAAUCCCCCAAUUCCAGUUCAUCGCUGCCUUUUUUUUCAUUCUGCAAACAAAAUCAAAGUGUACCAAAAAUAUUUUUACACGGUUUUGCUUUCAAAUCAACACAAUUACUCAUAAUCUAAAAUAAUUACUCAAAAUUAUUAAAACUCAUAAUAACAAAGCACACGAAGCAACAACAUAACAACAAUUAAAUCCCCCAAUUCCAGUUCAUCGCUUCCUUUUUUUUCCAUUCCGCAAACAAAAUCAAAGUGUAGCAAAACUAUAUUCACACGGUUUUGUUUUCAAAUCAACACAAUUACUCAUAAUCUAAAACAAUUACUCAAAAUUAUUUUGGCUUGAAUAGAGGGAAUACACAAUUAACAUGCUUUAAAAAAAUCUCGCAAAAUUAUUCAAACAAUUACUGAAAUAAAAAAAAUUACCAGCAAGCUGAGAGAGAUGCAGCAGUUCAGUCGAUCAAGUAGGAGCGGCGGUGGCUACACGGAGAUGGACAGCAGUGGCUAUGCUCAAACGGAGCAGCAACGGCCACGACGGAGAGAGAACGGCACACCAAAGGACAACCGCGGUAGAGACGAAGUUGCAGCGGCGGCAGAGAAAGUGUUGUUGGAGGGAGAAAAGGAGAGAGAGAGCGGGUAGAGAGAAGACUGCUACCGAAGAAAAGGAUGAGGAGAUAAGGAGAGAGAAAAUGUUGUUGGAGUAAGAAAAGGAGAAAGCACUGCUGCCGUGACUAGAUCGAUAACGAUGGCAGGGAGGGGGGGUGACCAGAUCGAGAACAAUGAGAGGGGGGAGAGGGUUGCUGCCGAAGAGAAUGAGUUUUGUUUCUUAAUCUAUUUUUGAGUUUAGUUUGUAAUAUUUAGGAAACAUGUUAAACACAUUUUCAUGUUUGUAGUUAUAACACUGGAUCUGAAUUUGUUAUUUUGUGAUUUGUUUUUUGAAUCCAUCUCACCAAACAUAUAUUAUGUUUGUAUUAUGAAAACAAAAAUGAAAACAAUGGGUAAAAAACGCUACCAAGUUACUUUCCUUUUGACAAACCAAAGACUCCAACACAAAUAGCAAUCACACCCACAAAUAGCAAUCACCCAACGGCCACGCGAACAGCCGGUACAGACGACAGACCACCGCCAUCACGUGAUCGAGGGAGUAGAACUCACGCGGUGGUGCGUCCAAACUCCAACGAAAUCGACGACGACGGAGGUAGUUAGAGCCACAGUUCUUUCGAGCUAAAUCGCUGGUGUUCCUAUUGGUUUUCAGCGACGAGGAUGGCAAGGAAACGAUGGCCAACUUCCAAUCUUCAGAUCAAUACCUUGAUCGGCCGGUAGAGUGGUCGGGAUCGUGAAAUCCAACCGGGUCACGUUUGCAGGUCAAGUCGGGUUUGCGGGUCAACUUCUCUCCCUCCUCAUCCACUCACAAAGCGCCACACGGCUCCCCUUGGCCAGGUUGUUGCUGCUGGAAUUUGUUUUGCUGGAACCAUUACUGGUGCUAGAAUUGAUGCUCGAGUUGUUGCUGCUAGAAUUGUUUUUGCUGGAAGUGUUACUGGAAUUUUUUUUGCUAGAAGUGUUACUGGUACUGGAGUUGGUGCUCGAAUUGUUGCUGCAAUUUUUUUUCUUUUUUUUGUGUUUGUGUGUAUGAACUAGAGGUGGCAAAAAUAUAUGCCCGGUCUAGACCCAGAUCAUACCCGAGCGUUGUUAUUCGGCCCGGGUAUAAAGUUGGGUUGAUCUUAGGUAUCACUUGAUAAACCCGGAACCUGGAUUUUAUUAAAAAAAUUAUAAAAAUAUAUUAUUUUAAAUAUUUAUAUUUAUUUGACUCAUUUAUUAUACAUAUAUAAAGUUUUAAAUACUUAAAAUUUAUAUUUUCAUGUUAAAUUUUAUUGAAAUAAAUUUAAAACUUAUAAAAUUAUCAAAAAAUAAAAAAUAUAUACACAUACUGCUGUACCGUACAUCCGCCUUGGCCGUACAGCAGUAAGAUAUGCAUUCACAAAUCAGAAGCAACCCGGACCCGGCCCAGGGUUUUGCCAUCCCUAGUGUGAACUCCUGAUUGUUUUUUAUUAUCUUGGGCACUUGUUGCUGCUGAUAUGUGUGUGUGAAAUUGCUUCAAUGAAUUGAAUACAACAAGUGCCCAAGUCUUGUUGGAAUCAACAAGUCUUGCUGCUGGAAUUGUUGCUACCGUUAGUGUUGCUGCAAUGAAUUGAAGAAGCAACGUCGUUCGGUUUAAGUGACCGUUUUAAAACUCACACACAUGUGCUGCACAGUUGCAAUUAAAAAGGAAAAGUGACCGUUUUAAAACACAGCGUUUUGGCAAAUUCAGAGUUAAGUUCGGGGCAUAUAGCAGCGCUCUAAUUAUAAACCCAAAUGAUUUUUUCUUUUAUUUUUUUUGUCUUUCACAUGCUAAAUCCACCACCCUUACCGAUAAAAAUUGGGAUGAUUUAUUUUUAUCCUAAUGAUCAUAAUAAAAAUUUUAAAAAAUUUUUACUAUUUUAUCAAAAUUAUUAUUUAAAAAUCAUAUUUACCCCAAUUUUUUUUUUAACUACAAUGUUUGAGGGUGUAUUAUGAAGUGACCAGCUAUACCCUAAACGAGAAGUCGACCUUCUUAUAAGUGAGCAGACAUGUGAGGUCUGGUAUCAGGUAGCCAAAAGCAGGCAUUUUCUGCUCGAUUACAAGGACACCCUCUGCUAGACCUUAGCACGAGCAGGAUUCCUGCUAGAAACCGAGAGCCUUCCUGCUGGAGACCGGGGUCGACAGACCCAGUCCAUAACAGUUAACGGGUGUGCACUUCUAUUCGAAAAUCUAAGCACGAAAUCCACUCGGCCGCAACUACAAUAUUCAAGCAUCCACUUCCGAGAGCUGGGGAGGUGGUGAACGUGGGUCAUGGGGGGCUAAAUUUAUAGGAAGACUAUAAAAGAGGUAAUCAACGAAGGUAAAAAGGUUAAACACUUUUACAUAAAAAUUAAGAAAAAAAAAGCAUUCUAGGAAAAACCUGUGAAAAGCUCAUAGGUAUUUUAUUGCCUAGGGAGCCACGAGAUCAGUGGCAGAAUUUCUUAAAAAGUCAACCCGAAUUUCUAAUUUGAGCGUUGAAGGGUUUACACGAAGAAAACUUCCAGCGUGCUCUGACUAAUUUGUGUGCACAGGAGUUCGUCGAGAAGAAGUUGCAAGAGGCAUACCUCUAUUCGCCUAGAAGAGUAACAUGAAGUAUACUCGGUAGGCUGCAAGUUUAAGAGUUAAAAAGAGAUCCUGAUCGUAAAUGAGCAGAAACUAAAAUCUCGCAUCAAUAUAUAUAUAUAUAUAUAUUUUUUCACCACGACUAUAACUUUUAAUAUAACUUAGGUUAUCAAAAUUUUGAGCUUCAUUCAACCAACCAUAAAUCAUGAUUAAAGUCUACGUUGCGUAAGUCAAGAAAGACUUUAAUGGGAGAGAGAUCAUCUUUAUUAUCGACACUACAAAUGGACCCCAAUUAUAUCUAAAGUCUUUGGGCUCGUGUCCCGUUGUCUUCUUCUUUUUCAAAACCCUAUUUACUAACCAUUAAUUCGGUUGGUUGAUAAAUCCGGCGGUUUCUGAUUUUCUUAUUUAUUUUUAUGCGAGUGACCCCGUAACGAUAGCAUCGCAAUCUCAUGAAAAAAAAUUUUCCAAACGCAUGAAAAUUGGACACCCAUCAACAAAAAUCUUUUUGUUACAGUAUUUACUGUACUUUCAAAAUUUUAAACAUGACAAAAAUUAAGUAAUCUACUUAUCAUAAUAAUCUAUGACCAAAAAUAUUGAACAUGUAAUUUUUUUUUUUUUUGUAAUUAUACACGCACAUCACUCUUUUACGAUUAAUUGACUAAACAAGUAUGAUAAACGAUUUUAUAAUGGAUUGUCUCAUAAUCUAAAUUUAUCAAAUAUUUUAAUGGUGAGACUAUUCGAAUUGAAUCCAUAAAAUUCUUUUAAAAUUUUCUUUACAACUUAUAACAUACUUUUUAGAAAGUCUAUCGAGUACUUAUUUAAAAAUUUUAUUUCAAUAGAUAUCAAGAAAAAUUAUUUGGUUAAGAGAAAUGAGCCCCUUUUGAGUUGGUGAAGCAUGAGCUCAUCACUAGGCAAUCCAUCAAAUUAUUCAAUAAACACAUUUACCCCACACAUCUAUAAUUAAUUAGAGGGAUGGAAUCAUUUGAACUUAUUAAAUUUCUCUUAACAUCCAUUUAUUUAACAUAUCCCCUAUCAAAAUCUUAAAAUUAAAUUUUAAUAAACCUCUUAAUACCCCACAAAUAACCGUUUUAUGGUUGGUGCAAUAAUUUAGAUAAUUAAAUUAUUUAUUGUUUUUGGUAAUUUUUAUUUAAGAUUAUUUUUGUAAUAUAAUUUUUUAUUUAAAAAUAGGUCUAAGGUGCAUUUUUAUGGGGCCCAAACGACCUUAAAAUUAGAAAAAUUAAAUUUUACCAUAUAAAAGCAAAACCUCUAGUACUUCCUAAAGUAUCCUUCAUUAGAUUUCUUUUUUUAAUUCUAUUAUUUUCUCUCUCCUAAAGAAGUUGCUGUAUCCUUUCUGGUAAGAUGCUCUGUUCAGGCUUCAAUGUUGUUGGAUUGAAUUGGCAACUGAACUCGAAUCAAUUCUCAUGCAAGGGUUGGGGAAUUUGCUCAACUUAUAAUUGGUAGGUUUAUGCCUUUGGGAUCAAACUCAUUUCGCCUCUCCAAGAAUCUGCAAAAUUAAUUUGUAUUAUCAUGUCGGCGCUGCUUAUAAUUAGUAGUGCUUGCAUUGCCCUGAAUUCAGGCAUUGCUUGAGUAGAGUUGGGCUUGCUGAUUCAUUUUAGUGACAAAUGAAAACAUUAAAAAAAAAAAAUCAGGACUUGUUCGUCCAAAUUUACAGAUAUUUUGUUCUUUAAUUAAUUUUAUUAUAACAAACAAUAGGAUAGCAGUGUUGUUUAACCAGUUGCUUACACCUUGGCAAUAUAGCUUUGUGUUUUUUUUUUCUUUUUUCUUAUUCAUAGAGAUGUCAAAUUCUCUAUCUUCACCAUAAUUCUAGAUUGAGGAUUAUACAUAGAGAUCUCAAAGUAAGUAAUGUGUUACUUGAUAAUGAGAUGAACCCAAAAAUUUUAGAUUUGUGUGAGAUGGCACUGUUCACAUUAUUUUUUUAAUUUCUUUAAUUAAAAUAACAAAACUAAAUAAAAAUGUAUAAUAUUUAAUAAAAUUAAAAAUUCAAGUAUGUUGCCGCUAGUGCUGAUGAACUACUAGCGAAAGUUCGACGGCGGCUAGCCACAGGUGGCUACUGCAUGACAUCAUGUUUUACCCUAAAAUUUGGUAUCAUUAAAAUUCUCAUUGUCGGGGCUUCACAGUAAUGCCAAAACCUUGAAUGUAGAUCGAUGGUGAAUGAAAAUUCCUUUGCCAAUGAUAGUUGACCAUUGCAUAGCCCUAAUAAUAAUGAUUCUAAUGGUAUCAAAAUAUAGUUCAAAUGGUACUAAAGUGGGAUGGUCAAGGUGAAAAUUUUUUAUUUUGAUUAUAAAAUUUUAAAUUAUUAAUUGAAUAUAAAUAAUAAUAGAAUAUAAAUGAAACUUUGAUUAUAAUUUAAUAUAAAUAUUAAAAUAGAAAUUAUUAUUUUAAAUAAUACAAUGCAAGCUACAUCAAACACCAUAUUGUAUUACAGCUUAAUACAAUAUAAUAUAAUACAAUAUAGUAUGUCAAACGCACCCAUAAAAAAAAAUUCAAAAUCACAAGAUUUAUUUGGUGGGCUUUACCUGCAUUAUCCUCAGUUUACUUUUUGAGUCAAAUAAACAAUAGGCCCCAGAGACUUUUUAGUUCAUCAUGCUAUUGCUUUAGAUGUACAUACAACUAUAUUGAUCUUGGUAAAGUGGACAGUUUACUUUUUGCGUCAAAUACUAUGUUGGGAUUAAUUUUUUAUAAAAUUAGUCUAUUCCACUGUCUUUAACUGCAUCCAAACAUACCCCAAUGGUUAACUAUGAGAAAAUUUAAUAAGACUAGCAAUUUGUUUACUUGGAAUUGGAAUGGACAAAAAUUGCAAUGAGUUGAAAUCAGAACAGGCUGGAAUUGAUCACAUGAGAAAUAAGAAUCAAAGUAAAUUAUAUACUUGAAUCGAAAUCAACAAAAUUCCAAUUGAUGUAUUUACUUUUGUCUUGUAAUCCAAAUAAGUUGUCACAAGUCAUAAAAAUGUCCUUAGUUCCACUCUUGCCAGAUGUCAUGAUGAUAUACGUUUCAUCCAUCUGGUAAGCGAAGGAGUUAUUGCAAGUUAAAAAAAUGUCCUUAGUUACAAUUAUGUAUUUUUCUAUGUAAAAUAAAUAAGCAAACAUUUUUAAAGAAACCAUUGGCAUAUUUAUUAUAAUAUUGAGUGUAAUACAAUGAGUUUUUGAGUAAACUAGUAGUUGUUGUUGUUAUUUUAAAUCGAUAAUAACUACUAUUAAUAUUAUUAUUGUAGGGAAAUUAAAGCCCUAACUUCUUAUUAAUUUAAUUCCUUCUUAUUACCAGAAGGGGAACCAAAGUUCAAAUACCAAGUUUUUGUUGCUGGCAGGACUCGAACCUACGCCCCUCAACUUUCUAGGUAUAGGUUCUCCCAUUAGAUUACAAGGUCGGCUUGUGUUAUUGUUACUACUAAUACUAUUAUUAUUAUAAUUGUUUAUUUUCUUAUUAGUAUAAUUAAUCUUAUUAAGAUUAUUUAAUUAUGUAAUAGGAAUAAAAUCAAAAUUUCAGAAAUUAAGGGAUAGUAAAAUAAUUAAUUUAGAAAAUAAAAAUCGCAAUCCCACCUUCUCAUAGAAAUAAGAUUCUCAUUCCCACCUUUAAAAUUUGGUGGGCCUCACAAAUUUCAUUCACAUUCUCAAAUAUCAAAUAAGCAAGUAAAUAAUGGAAUCAUUUCCGGUCUUCCAUUCUUGACUCCCAUUCCAAGAAGUUAAUAACCUUUAAUAGAACGUUCAAAUGAAAAGACUAGCCAGGCCUUGAGAAUUGACAUCCAUCAAUUAUCUCUUCCGUGUUAGAAAUAUAUGUUAUUUGUUUUGUCUUUUUUUUUUAAUUCAUAUAUUGUUGAAAAGUCAAAAUUGACGAUUUGUUUAUUCAAAUUGAUUGAAAAAUAAGAGGUGAGCCACAUGCAUAAUUGACUUUUGGAAGAGGUAGGAAUCGCAUGCAUGAUUUCUUUCAAAAAUGAAGAAUUUUUGUAACUUUAUGAAGACUUUUUUUAUGCAAUUGAAGAGUUUUUCAAAAGGUAGAAAUGGUGGCCCAAAUCAUUGAAAUAAUUGCAUGUAAAUUAGAUGUUAGGUGUUGGUGCCUAUAAAUAGAGAGCAUUUCUUCAUUUCAUUUCAUCCCAAAAAUUUGAGAGCUUAAGAGAAAUUGCAAGUGAAACAAUUAUAAAGUUCUGAGAGUGUGAGCAAUUGGAGAGUGUGUGUGAGAGUAUUUGGUGUAUUUAGGUUUUGGGAAAGUGAGGUUUUUCUACUUAAAUUUGUACUCUAAUAAUUGUUGGUAAUACAAUUAUUUUUCUUUUGCUCCCGUAGACGUAGGCAUAUUGCCGAACCACGUAAAAUUCUGUGUCUUUUAUUUUUCUGUGAUUAUUUGGUGCGCUUGAUUCUGUAUUCCGUGCACAACAUAUAUGAUCACUCUUGAAUCUCAAAAAGCAAAAAAAAAAAUCCCAUUAAAAAAGAUCCAUUGCAACUUGUAGACAAAUACAAAACAGAAAAAUUAGUAUUCCUAGUCCACUGCCCCGUUAAGAGACUAUCAUUUUUCUUACCUAUGAUCGAAGCUUCAUUUGGAGGAUAUGCUGUACAGAGUAGUUUUCCAAUCCAGUAUCUUGGAUUGGAGUUAUAAUCCGGGGGACAAUUUGUAGCCGUCGGAUCAAAUCCAAUGGCAACUUAUAUUUUUAUUUCAAAUAUUGAUUCCGACAGUAGGGCCCACAUGCAGACUUUUACAAUUUUUAAGGGUUCAGUUAUGUUGCAAGAGUUGUCAGGACCUCAAUUUUUAUCUUUUGUGAUUUAACUAAUGUAAAUUUAACAGAACGCCUUAUACUCUAUUUUAUUCAUAAAAUAUUAACAAAUAUUAUGAUACCUUUUACUUACAUACACUAUUAAAAUUCUAUUUAACACCUUACACUCUUUUUAUUUAUUAUUUUCAUAAAUAUUAAAGUAUUUAUUUGUUUACAUCCAACACUAAUAUUAACAAAAAGACAACAAUACCCUUAAAUUUAUAAACUAAAAAUAAAAUUUUAGAUUUGGAGCCAGCAAGUUUAAGGGACUCCAAAUCCAAGAUUGUGACUCUCUGUUGGUGCCUUUGACUACAAGUAACGCCAUGCCAUUGGCAGAAGUGGAUGGAUUCAUUCGACGAGCCUAAAGCACCAAGAGGAUCAUGGGUGAUCUUGGACUUGAAUUCAAGCAAGGCUAAUCGAUCUGUCCCGUUGCCAACAACUUCAGAAGCCCUCACACCAAGGAUUUCAGGAAUUAGAAUGGCGUGGAAGCUGAAGCAGAAUACAAGGACAGCAUACGCAACUAAAAAAGAGCAAGGGCAAGGCACUCUUAUGCUCAUGUUGAACGGAAAAUUUUUAUCUCGGAGUUGCAGGUAAAUGGUGGAAUGGAUUUGUCAAAAUUUAAGGUUCAACAAUCAAGAAUAUAGACAAAUGUAUUCACUCAGCAAGGCUCUAUCUGUAAUUAUUAUUAUGAUAAUAAUGUAACAUUCAUAAUUUUGUCAAACAGCUUUCGGAGGGUUUAAUAUUCAUUUAAGUUCGUAAAAAUCUAAAGUUCAUAAUUUUGUCAAACAGCUCUAUUUGUAAUACACUUGACUUGUUCUGGGAAAUUUCCCAGCCAAAGAACUUGCUUGUAAAAAUCUAAAGCAGCCUUAGCUAAAUAGUGAGCAAUAAAAUUACAGCUCCUAGAGACAUAUGUAAUUGAGGCCGAUGUCUGGACUUUCAUUUUUUCUUGAAUCUCUGCAAUUCUCCACGAAAUUUCAGCCUUGCUGCUCUUCUUACUUAAAUCUAGUUCCACCACUUCCUUUGAGUCUGAUUCAAGGAUCAAAGGGAAGCAAUCUGCUUGUUGAGCACUUUGAAAACCGAGCAGCAUAGCUUCAGCUUCCAUACAAGCUACAUUUUCUUGAUAUGGGAUUCCCUGGACUGCUGCAGCAACAACUUUGCCUCUGCAAUUUCUAAUAACUGCUCCCAGCCCUGCUUUUUGUUUUGAGACAUUGAUUGCCGCAUCAACAUUAACUUUGAACCACCCAUUUGGAGGAGUAGUCCAUUCCAACUUUCUGUUCUUGCUGUGCUCUGGAAUGGCUUGGGCAUUUGGGAUUUAAUUCGUCAGUACGACUCCACUAUAGCUCCUGCUCUGGCAAAAGAUUGCUUCGGAUCUUCAUCCUUCCCUUAAAAAAAAAAACGAUUUCUGGAAUACCAGAUAGCCCAGCACACAGCAACAAAAAACUCCAGAUCCUUCUUUCUUCUCUUCAAAGCUACAUCUUGAAUCACACUUAACAUGUCCUGACGAGCCAACUGUUUAACUUCCUCAUCAAGAUCUGUAAAUUUCCAAAUCCUCCUCGCUGCUUUGCACUCCACUAAAGCAUGGAAAACAUCCUCACCUCUGCACUUGCACCUUUGACAAAAGGGAUCCGACACUACUUUCCUCCUCCAUAGAUUAUGCAUUGUUGGUAACAAUUCUUUCCGUCCUUGACGACCAAGAUCAGUCGGUAAUUGGUGCCGGAAACCAUCUUAGUCUCACCCUUCUCCACGCUCUUGAACUUGAACUCGUUCUUUGACUGUUUUUUUUGUACUCAUCACUGCAAACAGCCCGAUCUCUGUCACGUGCGGCUUGCUGAGGUCUUCUUUCGACUUCCAUCCCCCAACUAAGACUCCUUUACGAUCGCCGGCGGCCAGGAGAGGGGUUGUUGCCAUGGCUUUUCACGACCACAAAAUACGUAAUCCCUGCACCUUAUCCAUUUUCUUCUAACACUUGUCAAGAAGGGUAAUUUUGUCCUUUUAAGAUUUAUAAACAAAAUAUAAAUAAAAUUAGUGCAGGUGUUCAAGUAAAUUUGACAACAUUUAAAUUAUAAAAGACAAAAGUUAGGGUACGACAGUUGCAACAUAGCCGAGUCCAUUUUUAAUAUUAAAAAGUAAAGCUGCUUUUAAAUAGAGAACUGAUAUUCCCUCCCCAGAUUCUUCAUCAUCUGACUAAAGCCAAAAAGAACUGAUACUAACAAAUCACCAUUUGGGAUUUCCACUUUUUCAUUAUCCAUUUUAGUACAACUUAAAUCAAGGGGGGAAAAGGAAUAAAACAAGCAGAUGAUUACACAUGCACACUGAUUUCCAUUUUGUCACCAUUUCUUGCCGAUGUUGCCGUAAUUCUUUUUUUUUUUUGGUUUAUCUCAAACUUUGUAAUUUUAUUAAUAUUGAGGGCAUAAAAAACAACGAGUUCAUGAUCCAUCUGAUUUUAGUAAAUCAAUCAGGUGAGCUUUGCUAUUAACUUUCCUUCACCGGCAACUAUAGAGAAGUGCUGGAGCAGGAUCUCCAGACUCCAGUCAGGCAUCAACAUCCAUCAAAAACUCACAAAACUUUCUCUCUUAAUCGCCUUUACAGACUCUUCGUUUCUCAUUUUUCUCGCUUUCUUCUUCUUCGAAAGCAGCGAGCCCUUCCAAUCCCUUCUUUUGUGGCUCUCCUUUUCCCUCUUCAUUCGCCCCUUCGCCAUCGCUCAACUCACCUGCGGUCACACUGCGUCGGUCACAGCCCAAUCAUUGAAACCCCUCAUAUCCAGAUCCAAAGAUUAAAAGGAAGCCUUAGAAGUCGCAAAAGAACCGAUCUUUAAACCCCCCACAGUUCGGUUCUGAUCGUUAAAAACUCAAAUGUGUCAAUUCGAAUUGAGUAAAAAGAGAAGAAAUUUGAAGUCUUGGAGGAAUGAAAUGGAGAGGAUAUUCAGAUUCUGAAAAGCAGUGAUGAAGAAACCGAUGGGGAAGAUCAGUUCUCUCUCUAAAAAUUUAUUAGGCAACUUUUUUUUUUAAUAUUAAAAAUUAUAAAAAUCUGCAUGUAGACCCUUAUGUUGGAAUCAAUAUUUGAAAUUAAAAUAUAAGUUGCCGUUGGAUUUGAUCCGACGGCUACAAAUUGUCUCCCGGAUCUUGGAUUGGAAAACUACUCAUGCUGUAAAAAUGAUUUAGCUCAUGUGAUUAAUAAAUAUAUACGAUCAUAAUUAAUUUCCAGCUUCUGGGGAAGUUAAAAAAUCCUUAUUUUUCCAUUUGUGUUUUAUGCAUGGUUUUUUACAAUUUUAUAUUUAAGUUUAAUAAAUUGAAUAGUACGUGCGUAUCAUUUCAUUUUGUUUAUGUUUAUGUCUCCAUCUUUAAUUUUAAGGACGCUAUAUAUAUUAACUCAUAUUUCCAACAGCCGUACUUUAAUAGGAACAAGAAGACAUGAUUUCUAUUAGAUCAUAUUCGACAGAUUUCUAAAAUUAUACCAAUAUAAAUUCAUUAUUAGUUAGAUGAGAAAUAAGAAAUUUAAUUACAACAAAUGAUUUACAACGAUGACCCAAGUAAACACUCAGUCAAGUCAAUGGAUAAAUUAACUCGCGUCACUGUUUCGUCACUAUUAUUUUUUCGGCUCAAUUAUGAUUACACUUGGAAUCUGUAAGCUGCAGCAUCAGCCGUUGGAUGUGGAGUGAGAAACUAAACAAUAGAAAAUGGGAUGGUGCGAGAUGUUUGACAGAUAAAGCCUCUGUAAUUAGUAUUUUUUUCGGCUCAAUUAUGAUUAUUACAGUUGGAAUCUCGGAGCCAGCAAAAAAUUAUCCGUUGAUGACAACCGAUUGCAACUUAUAGACAGAUACCAAAAAUAUAAUUAGUAUUCAAUGUCCUUUGUGAAGUUCUACACGUAAUUUAGCCGGUGGGGUUUUUCGAAAUUAUUGAUUAUUCUUUCCUUUGAAAUUAAUAUAAAAAAACAGCUCCAUAAUUUUUCUGUGUAAUUUAAAACUAUUGCAUGACGUUUUCUAUUCGGCCAUCCAUUAUUUAAUUGAUAACGGCCCAGCAUGCAUAUGGCUAGAAAUUCGCUUCUUCUAUUCUAAUUAAAUUUCAUGUAAACUUUUCUCAGUUCUCAGUGUUUGCCGAUAUAUUGAAGACCAUAAUAAUAAUAAUUAUUAUUAUUAUUAUGAUGAUGAUGAUGUAUUACAUCCCAAAUUGCCUUCGUUAUAAUAUUUGGCCCUAAAACUAAUAAAAAUAAAGAGUUGUACUAUUGCAUAAUUGUAAAUCUAUGACAAAUGAAAAUUAUUUAUUGGUAAUAGUUGCAUAACCCAAAUAAUAAUUAUUUUAAUGGUAUCAAAAUCUAGUUCAAAUGGCACUAAAGUACGGCGGUGAAAUUUUUUUAUUUUAAUUAUAAAAAUUUAAAUUAUUAAUUAAAUAUAAAUAAUAAUAAAAUAUAAAUGAAUCUUAGAUUAUUCCUAGUUUCCUACAAUUUUGGUGGGUCCCGACAUUAGGCGGAAGUGUACAUUGCCAUAAGAAGUCAAGAACGACUUUGGUGGGUCCCGACAUUAUUCCUACAUUUUAAGUCUUCGGCUCAUUUAUUUCCCAUUUUCUUUAUCUUUUUCAUAAACAUAUUUUCUAACCAUUGGUUUUUAUUUCUUAAAUACGACGGUUUGACUCCAGAAGCAUUGACUUUCAGUUCAAUGCCGUUAAAGAUGGAUCAUUAGUCACGGUAUUAGCAUCUAUAGAGUUUGUUAGAGAGAGAUCUAAACCAAUACACAAAUGGGUGUACUUUCAGGUCAGUGCCCUCCAAUAUGGAUUAUCAGUCAUGGUGUUUAAUUAUAUUUAUUUAAUUUGUUAGAGAGAGCUCUACGCCUAUAGAGUAUAACAAAUGGAUGUACUUUCGUUUUCGUUCGUCUGUUGUAAGUUACUGUUUUUUUUGUCUAAAUCCUCUUUCACUUCCGACACCAUUACUUCAUUUCAGUCCCUCAGCGAUGGCAGGACCUUAGUUUCGAAAGAAGGAAGCUUUGAGCUUGGUUUCUUCAGUCCUGGUAGUUCCAAGAAUCGUUACGUAGGGAUUUGGUACAAAAAUAUGCCAGUUAAAACUGUUGUUUGGGUUGCAAAUCGAAUCAACCACAUUAAUGACUCUUCUGGCUUGUUAGUUGUAAACAAGACGGGCAAUCUUGUUUUAACAAGCCAGAACAAGAGUGUAGUUUGGUCAGCAAACUUGAGCAAAGAAGUCCGGACUCCAGUUGUAUUGCAGCUACUAGAUUCAGGAAAUCUUGUCCUCAGAGGUGAACGAGAUGGCGGUUCUGAAACUUAUUUAUGGCAAAGCUUUGAUUAUCCUUCUGAUAAUUUGCUACCAGGAUGAAGCUCGGAUGGGAUUUCAAGGCUGGUCUUGAGCGGCGUAUAACAUCAUGGAAGAGCUCAGACGACCCGUCUCCCGGAAACUUUAUUUGGAAAACUGAACGACAAGAUAACCCUGAGUUAGUCAUGUGGAAGGGAUCAAGAAAGUUUUAUAGGACUGGCCCCUGGAAUGGCCUUAUAUUCAGUGCUUCAUCACUCAGGCUUAACCCAAUUUUUAAGUAUCGCUUUGUCUUCAAUGAGGAUGAGCUGUACUACACAUUCUACCUCACAGAUAAAGAUGUUAUCUCAAGGACUGUUAUGAACCAAACACUCUAUUUACGUCAACGAUUCAUAUGGAAUAAAGCAACUAAAAGUUGGGAGUUGAAUGCAAAUGUGCCAAGAGAUCUAUGUGACACUUACGCCCUUUGUGGCGCCUAUGGCAUUUGCAUCAUUAGCAAAUCGCCUGUUUGCCAAUGUUUAAAAGGUUUCAAACCUAAAUCAGAGGUUUAUGUGGAACGGUCUCAAGGGUGCGUACGUACUAAGCCGUUAAACUACUCUCGACGUGAUGGUUUUGUCAAAUUUAAUGAUCUGAAAUUGCCAGAUUCUACUUCCUCUUGGGUUAGCAAAAGUAUGAAUCUCAAUGAAUGCCGGGAGAAAUUCUUAGACAACUCUUCUUGGAUGGCAUACGCAAAUUCAGAUAUCAGAGGAGAAGGCAGUGGCUGUGCCAUGUGGUUUGGCGAUCUGAUUGACAUGCGAAGCGUUCCAGAUGCUGGGCAGGACUUCUAUAUUCGAAUGUCUGCUUCAGAGCUAGGUAUCCGUUUACUUGUUUAAGUUACUCCAUUAUGAGAACUUAGGAGUGCCACUCCAGUUAGAUUAGUUCCAUAUUUUUAUUGUGUAAUUUAGUAAUGAGUUCAGAUUGAGAUGCUCCUUUCACAAAAAGCAGUUUCUGGGUAUGGCUUCUGUGCAUAGAAUUCUGCUGCUAUUUGAAUCAUUUUUUCUUAGCUAUAUGAUUAUUGACUUGCUUUGCUAUAUCUGAAUAUGCUGAUCAAGGAGCGAAAGGUGAGCCUAGGACGAAGAUAGUGGUGAUAGUCAUUUCUACUGCUGCUCUGUUAGCUGUGGUGCUUAUAGCUGGCUACUUGGUUCACAAAAGGAGAAAUAUAGUGGGUAUAAUAUUGCUCCAUUUUCCUUCACAAAUUUUCGUUGACGAUUUGAUGCAGGAAAAUCAAACUCUUAUAAAUAUUAAAUUUACAACAGUCGAUUAAGUUUUUAUAUGCAACAAUAAUUGUAUGUUUGUUUCAAGAUGAAGAGUUAACAGUGCAUAUCAUUUAGAUCAGGGGCAAGGUAAUUAAACUUGUAAAUUUUUCACCUAUGGUUCUUUAUUUACUUGCACUUUCAUAUUGACUGGAAUAUAGCUUUAAUACAAAUUUACAGAAAAAGAACCUUCUCAUCAAGAACAUGAAAAUUGUAUACGUACUGCAUAUGUGCUUUCAGUUAAUAAUAUCCAAUAUUUCAGAGAAAACAGAAAACAACAGGGAAACUGAUCAGGUUCAAAACAUGGACCUGGAGCUACCACUGUUUGAGUUAGCUACAAUUGCUAAUGCCACCGAUAACUUUUCAAUCAACAACAAGCUUGGAGAAGGUGGCUUUGGACCUGUUUACAAGGUAAACUUGAAACUUGCCAGUCAAAAAUAAUUAUUUUACCGGGUAACUAAAUUCACAUAUAUGUCUGGGCAGGGCACGCUAGUGGAUGGGCAGGAAAUUGCUGUGAAGAGGCUUUCGAAGAUUUCAUAGCAAGGAUUGAAGGAGUUAAAGAAUGAAGUUAUACUAUUUUCCAAAUUACAGCACAUAAAUCUUGUAAAGCUUCUUGGCUGCUGCAUUCAGGGAGAGGAGAAACUGUUGAUUUAUGAAUUCGUGCCGAACAAAAGCCUGGACUCUUUCAUUUUUGGUCUGGGUCCCUAUAACCUUAAAAUAUUCGGCUAGCUUGUGCCUUGAUUAUAGACGUUUCUUAUGUAUUUUCAGAAAAUUUUGUACUAACCUUAAUGUGGUAAUUUGUAGAUCAAGAAAGAUGUAAGAUAUUGGAUUGGUCCAAGCGUUUCCACAUUAUUUGUGGGACUGCUAGGGGUGUUAUGUACCUUCAUCAAGAUUCUAGAUUGAGGAUUAUACAUCGAGAUCUCAAAGCAAGUAAUGUGCUACUCGAUCAAGAUAUGAACCCAAAAAUUUCGGAUUUUGGUUUGGCAAGAGCUUUUGGUGGAGACGAGACAGAAGGAAAUACAAACUGCGUAGUUGGAACAUAGUAAGUAUUUUUUUGUCAUGUGAUCUUUACGAUUCACUUACAUUGAUUAAUGAAAAUUAACUUAUAUAUUUAAUCUUUUGAAGCGGUUAUAUGGCACCGGAAUAUGCUAGUGAUUGGCAAUUCUCAGUAAAAUCCGAUGUCUUCAGCUUUGGAAUUUUAUUGCUGGAGAUAAUAAGUGGAAAGAAAAAUAGAGGAUUUUAUCAUUCCGACAACAAGCUUAACCUUAUAGGACAUGUAAGUAAAAUGCAUAUGACAUUUUCUAACAUAGUUUGAACUAAUAAACUAUAGAUGAUAAAAGAGUUUUAAUAUGUUGUAGGCAUGGAAGUUGUGGAACGAAGGCAUGCCUUCACAAUUAAUCGAUCCAUGUAUUCAAGACUCAUUCAAUCUUGCUGAAGUGAUACGAUGCAUCCACAUCGGUUUGUUAUGCGUGCAACAGCAUCCAAAGGACAGGCCAAGCAUGCCCUCAGUGAUUUUGAUGUUGGGCAGCGAGACUGUGUUGCCUCAGCCAAAGCAACCCGGUUACUUGGCGCACAGGAAAUCUACCGGACAAGAUUAUUCAUCAAGCACGCCUGAAUCAUGUUCAACUAAUACAAUUACGAUCUCUGAGUUGGAGGGUCGGUAGAGAAUCUAUUUGUGGUAUCAUGCCUUGUUCUACAUUGUCAAGUGCAAAAGCAGUAAUAUGUCAACCAAAUGGAAAGUUAAGAUAAAUGAUUGGAUAAAAAAUGAUGAGGAUCAUCCAGUGAAUGCAUGUUGUGGAUCUAAAAGUUCAGAGGACAUGCCAAUUUUGCAGCUGACUACUUGGCUAAAAAUGCAGGCUCUAUACCUCUCGGAUUUCAUGUUUAUCAAGAACCUCCUGUAGGUCAUGAUCCUUGGCUUUGUUAUGAUAUGUAUGGGACAAUGAUUCCCCGCUCGGUUGUGUCUUAGCUUGGC
rnacentral:lncRNA from 1 species